ensembl:lncRNA
AUGACAUUAGCCCACGCAAGCUUCCACAUCCACUUCUCCUCGAGAGGCGGACAAAAACUUCACCUGCCCUUCAGCUCCGCCCUCCGGUUGACUCUCCCGCCUCUUACCCGGUCCCACUGCGCCCGCCGCGCUGCGAACCAACGGGUAGAGUCAACAUGGUUCAACCACCGAAGCUGUAGGCGACGAUAAAGACACCUCUCCGUUUUCAACUGAAUCCAGAACAGACACUGCCAAAAAAGACUGAAGCCUGAGAGAAACACUCUGACUGAAGAUUGUAUCAGGAUAUCUCAGAACCCUGCCUUGCGUAGGUAGAUGGUGCCAAGCUGGACCAGAACAUCUACUGCUUUCUCAGUCAGGCAGGAGGCCGCUUCCUGCUUCAGAUGAACAACCCAGA